GAUGAACGCUGGCGGCGUGCUUAACACAUGCAAGUCGAACGGAAAGGCCCAAGCUUGCUUGGGUACUCGAGUGGCGAACGGGUGAGUAACACGUGGGUGAUCUGCCCUGCACUUCGGGAUAAGCCUGGGAAACUGGGUCUAAUACCGGAUAGGACCACAUUUUGGAUGGUGUGGUGGAAAGUUUUUCGGUGUGGGAUGAGCUCGCGGCCUAUCAGCUUGUUGGUGGGGUAAUGGCCUACCAAGGCGUCGACGGGUAGCCGGCCUGAGAGGGUGUACGGCCACAUUGGGACUGAGAUACGGCCCAGACUCCUACGGGAGGCAGCAGGGGGGAAUAUUGAACAAUGGGCGCAAGCCUGAUGCAGCGACGCCGCGUGGGGGAUGACGGCCUUCGGGUUGGAAACUCAUUUCGCUAGGGACGAAGCGUUAUGUGACGGUACCUGGAGAAGAAGCACCGGCUAACUACGUG
rnacentral:rRNA from 1 species